rnacentral:rRNA from 1 species
AGUGAACGCUGGCGGUAGGCCUAACACAUGCAAGUCGAACGGCAGCACAGUAAGAGCUUGCUCUUACGGGUGGCGAGUGGCGGACGGGUGAGGAAUACAUCGGAAUCUACUUUUUCGUGGGGGAUAACGUAGGGAAACUUACGCUAAUACCGCAUACGACCUACGGGUGAAAGCAGGGGAUCUUCGGACCUUGCGCGAUUGAAUGAGCCGAUGUCGGAUUAGAUAGUUGGCGGGGUACAGACCCAGCAAGGCGACGAUCCGUAGCUGGUCUGAGAGGAGGGUCGCCGGCACUGGAGCUGAGACACGGACAUUACUACUACGGGAGGGAGCAGAGGGGUAUAUGAGGCAGUAGGCGCGAGUCUGGUACAACCAGACCACGUGUGAGGAGGAGGCGUUGGGGUUGUAAUGCCCUUUUGUGGGGUAAGAAAAGCAGCAGGUUGAGACGCAGCUUUUGUGACGGUACCCAGAGAGUAAGCACCGGCUAACUACGUG